rnacentral:rRNA from 1 species
AGAGUUUGAUCCUGGCUCAGAUUGAACGCUGGCGGAAUGCUUUACACAUGCAAGUCGAACGGCAGCACGGGGCAACCUGGUGGCGAGUGGCGAACGGGUGAGUAAUACAUCGGAACGUGCCCAAUCGUGGGGGAUAACGUAGCGAAAGUUACGCUAAUACCGCAUACGAUCUACGGAUGAAAGCGGGGGAUCGCAAGACCUCGCGCGAGUGGAGCGGCCGAUGUCAGAUUAGGUAGUUGGUGGGGUAAAGGCUCACCAAGCCAACGAUCUGUAGCUGGUCUGAGAGGACGACCAGCCACACUGGAACUGAGACACGGUCCAGACUCCUACGGGAGGCAGCAGUGGGGAAUUUUGGACAAUGGGCGCAAGCCUGAUCCAGCCAUUCCGCGUGCAGGAUGAAGGCUUCGGGUUGUAAACUGCUUUUGUACGGAACGAAACGGCGAGCUCUAAUACAGUUUGCUAAUGACGGUACCGUAAGAAUAAGCACCGGCUAACUACGUG